AGUUGGAACUCAAGCUUGUACGAAUCCACAACAAAUUGGCGACGAGGCACAAAAGUAUAAAAAAAAGUGCAAAGGAAAAACAAAGCAAAAACGAAAAUUGAAUUGGCGGACAGAAAAAAAACUGCCAAUAUGACCGAAUUCAGCGACUCUUUAAAAAUUCUGCCAAAUGAUCAGCAUUCCUGAAUUCAAUCCAGAAAGUGAACCUUUUUCGAUAUGGAAAGAAAAAUGUGAUAUCCAUAUGUGCGAAUUAAAUAUCAGUGAAGAAAACAUGCAAAAGGCUUCGUUACUAAAAUCUAUUGGAUCAGUAUCGUACACUGUCCUACAUAUGUACAUAUGUAUGUAGCUUUGUGUAGUCACACUCACCGUUUUCUAAAACUACCAACACCAACGGGAAAGAAAAACAUUUCACAUGUCCAAAAAAAGUGAAAAUAAAACCGUUGCAAGUUGGUAUGCACGUGUCAAACAGUUAGCAUCAAAUUGCAAGUUUGGACAUCUGGAAGCAUUUGUUUUAAACGAAUUCAUCAUGAGUCUUCCAAGUGCAAUUUUUGAACGGUUAUGUGAAGAAGCCGAGCAUCUAUUUAUCUCUGUCGGACGCAUUGAGAAAAGCUAUGAUAAUGGAGACAAAGAUUACCGCUUAAAGAGCUGAAAAGAACGUGAACUACGAAUGGUACAUAGAAGCAACAACGAUGACUUCAAGGGCAAAUCUAAGCCGAAACACAACGAAGGCAAAGGCAAAUCCAACCAGACAGAAAAAGGCAUGUACGAAUUGUGGCUGGCGAAACCAUAACUCUGAUAAAUGCAAAUACAAAGGCUAUGACUGUCGUAAUUGUGGCAAAAGAGGGCAUCUGACAACUGUUUGUAAAUUAAAAUCUGUAAACCAUGUAUCAAAAUUAAAUAAUUUAAAUGGUAACUUAAAUACUAAUGAAAUUGAUCAAAGUUUUUCAGUAAUAAAUGUGGCUUCAACUACUACUAUUUGUGAUGCCUAUACGUUACCUGUAAUUAUUGAUGGAUGUUACAUGAAUGUUGUUUGCGACACUGGUGCACCUUGCACAUUGAUUUCAAAAGCAACAUAUGAAAAAGCAAUUAUGAAGCGGACACUAAGAAAAUGUAAAGUGCCGUUUGUAAAUUAUAAUGGUGACACUAUCGAAAUUGUGGUGAGUACGAUGCAAUUAUUAAACAUCGAGGCAUAAAAAAACAAAUGAUAGUCGUAGUUACAAAAACAACGAGUCCAGCUUUACUUGGAGGGACAUUUUUAAUGCCUUUAACUUUUAUUUACUACAGGUAAACAGCAUAAAUGUGAACGAACAAUACUCUAUAGUUACAGAACAAAUUAAAAAUUAAUUUUCGGAAGUAUUUAAAACCGAUUUAGGUUCGCAAGUAAAGUAACAUUGCAGUUAGAGGAUGGCUCUAAACCAAUAUUUUUCAAGCCAAGGUAGUUACCACUAGCAUGGAAAGAUAAAAUUGAACAAAAGCUAAGAGACUUAAUUGACUUAGGUGUUCUAGAGCACGCUGACAGUUCUGAUUGGGGCACUCCAUUGGUGCCAAUUUUAAAACCCGAUGGUGAUAUUACAAUAUGUGGUGAUUAUAAGUUACUUUAAACAAAUGUCUGAUUGAUGUUGGAUACCCAUUAGCGAGAAAAGACGACAUAUUUGCAGCACUUCAAGGAGGCACAUUAUAUACAAAGUUGAUUUAGUCAACUCAUAUUGUUCGCACAAUAAACAUGUGCGUACACUUAAUGAGUUCAAUUCGCUACUGCGAGGGCUUCGCCUUUUAUUCAUUCUUACUUGGAUUCUUAUCUCUAAUUAUAUAAUGCAUCGCUUGUAAGACGCCGCAGUCUGCGUUUGUAAAUGCAGCUGAGUUUUAUUCUUAAAUCUAUGUUUGAGGCCUAUGACCGCGCUAAUAGGCCGCUGCAAUCGUACUUAUCUGUAGUUGCCACUUAUGCUGUCCAGUGACAUGUUUAUUGCAGCCCAUAAAUAGAACAUAUAUAUAGUUUGCUAAAUGCAUAUUUAGACAUUCUCCGUUGGGGGGGUGGGAAUGUACGGCCAGUAGUCGUCUCUCAUUUAUGCGUUGCCUCCGGAUAUAAAUGACUAAUAUAAUUAUGAUAAUCGUUGUCAACCCUAGUUGACGAGUGUCCGCUUGCCGUGUGGAAAAUCAAGUCAUCAAUGUGUACCUUGUUAUUUUUCAGAGUCUUGAUGCGCAUUUGAAGAUUUUGCAGUUCAUUAGUGUUGUUGGCAAUCAAGUGCUUCAGCGGGACCACGUUUCAUGUCUCUUUGUCAUCUAUAAUUCGUAAACUGGGGAAGAUAGACAUUUCAGACGCUGUUGCAAUGACACCAGAUACUCCUCUUUCCAUUUCUUCCAAAAAUCACCUGUGAUGCGUUAAAUAAGCUUCCAUCUAUCCAAAGAGCUGAUUGUCAUACUUUCGUCAAAAUGUUCAGGAGCUUCAAUUAGAGGUCUUCCCACCAGAAAAUGACCCGGCGUUAAUAUGUCCUCAGCAUCGUUUUCGCUCCUUACAGUGACUAAUGGACGCGAGUUUAGCACUGCUUCGAUUUGACAUAGCAGCGAUGCAAAAUCUUCAUGUGUAAAGCUGUUUUCACCAAUAACUCGUUUAAGGUGAUGCUUCACUGAUUUUACACCGGCUUCCCAUAAACCUCCCAUGUGGGGGCUUCCGGGGGAAUAAAGUGCCACUUGAUGCCUUCUUUUUCUAGUGUAGGUGCUAACUCAUUAUUGUUUUUAAUGGCAGCUACAAAUUCUUUGUCCAAUACUCUUGAAGCUCCCACGAAGUUAUGGAACAAACUAUAUGAGUAUAGGUUCUCACAAAGAACCUUCGAAGAGCCUCCAGGAAUCUGUCUGACGAAAGAUCGCUAACAGCUUCCAGAUGUAUUGCUUUUGUUGCCAUACAAACAAAUACACAAAUGUAUCCUUUAUUCGUUUUUUGACCUCUUCUCUUUGAGCAGCGAAUCUGGAACGGUCCGGCGUAGUCGAUUCUAGUAUAUUGAAACAAGAAAAAAGAUAUGAUAGUGGCCUAUGUAAAGCUUUCGCCUUUUGUAAAGCUUCUUGAAGCGUAUGCCACUGGUAGCUGUUGACCGUUAUGGCCUUGAGAUAGUACCGCUCCACAUGCUUGUUUACUAGCAUCUGUGGUUAUGCAAAAUUGUUUGCAUUGCGUUUACUGGUUGGGGGUAAUUUUUUAUUACCUCAUAUUUAUAGUCAUCUGGCAAUAUACCUUUGUCAGUACACUUGUGACCUAAAUAAGUAACCUCUUUCAUAAAGAAAGUGAAUUUUUCUAUUCAGAACAGCCUAUGACUACUAAAUCAUUCAUAUACACAAAUACUUGCGAAGGCGUUAAGCCUGAAAAUGCAAGAGUCAUCAUUCUUUGGAAAGAAUUUGGGGCUAUUUUUAAACCAAAUGGUAAUUGCGUGUAGCGGUAUGCUCCUGUUGAAGUUGAGAAUGAUGUUAUAUUUCUUGACCUUUCGUCUAAUUCUAUUUGAUGAAAUCCUGACAUCAGGUCUAGGCACGAGAAAUAUUUUGCUCGACCUAAUUGAUCAAGAAUAUCUUCCGUUCUUGGAAGUGGGAAUUUGGGUACGAAGUGUAAAAUCCCAAAUGAGAAGACUUUACUCGUUGAGUUUUUGUAAGAAACUGGUUUUAUUUGGAAAUAUCUUCGGUUUAAAUAGGUGACAUGAAAAUCGCAUCUUAAAGUAAAUGGCCUACGCAGAGGCCUAAGUAAAUAGUCCCCGCCUUAUUGAGGUCCCACGCUCCGGCACAACUGGACCACAUCUGGACCUCUGGACCCACGCUCCGGCACACUAAGGGACUAUUUUAGGAGGCGGGUAACGAUCUCAAGUGACUGACUCGUGUAGUGUGCACUUAGAUUACAUGUAAAUAUAUUAUUAAUACUACCAUUAUUAUUAAAGCAGUAAUUAAUCCAGCAUGUCCGGAAAUAUGACGGAAAUCUAAAUCUUUCAAUUUUUGAUGAUUCUGUUUCAUAAAUUUAAUUUCAUUAUUCAAUCGUUCAAAUUCCUCAGUAUGAUUUAAUAUUGAUAGUUUCAGCGGAUCCCAAAUAAUCUUCGGCACUUCACUAACUUCUCCUAUAUAAGGUGUUGAUAAUAAUUCUUAACUUUCGCACUGAAUGUUAUGGUGAGCAACUAGAAUUUUAUCGUCGGUUCUUGCCGUACAAUAUGGCGCAAUGCUUAAAACUCCUUGCUGAGGCAAAUCAAACAAUUCAAUUUGAGAGCCAGUACAUUGCAGACGGACUUUUGAAUUCACAGGAACCUUAAACAACCAACUACUUUUCUUUUCUAACUCUACCCAGUAAUUUUUAGAGUCGACUACUGUUUUACAGAUGCAGUUCGCCGCUUUAUUUGGCUUUAGAGACUGAAUCUCACAUGCAUUAUCAUUGGCGGAAUUCUGCCAAUGCCAACUUCCUUUGCAUAUUCUCUUAUUUAGUUGCCAUUUCUGACAUUGAUUUAAUGUAGCUUCCGUCAUUAUGUGAUAGGAAUCUAUCUCAAAAUUAUAAAUUAAAUUUUCGGACGUUGAAUAUCUUGGUGCUAUAUCUUUAGGUAAUGCGCUAGAAACUUGACAGCUUAACACAAACAACAACAUUGCCAUGAUGAUUCCGAUCUUGGACAUUCCCGAUGUCGCUCUAGUUCGCCUUUUUGGCUCCUGGUCAGCCUCAUUUUUGUCAACAGACUUUAUUCCUUCCAACGGACAAAUUUUAGUAAUGGGUCUAGUGAUAUAUCCUUCCUGCAUCUUUACUUUAGCCACCCGGACCUUAUCAUCAUUCCCUUCAUGGACCUUUUCCACCUUUCCUAAAGGCCAUCUUGCAGGAUGACAAUUCUCAUCCUUUAAUAAAACUAUUUGCCCUUCUUUAAUAUUAGGAAUUUCCUUUUUCCAUUUAUUCCUUUGCUGGAGCGUAUGCAAAUAUUCACUUUUCCACUUAACCGAGAAGUCUUUCCCCAUUUUUUGGAUAAGUCUCAACCUAUCCAAAUUUCCGAUUUUUUCAUCUUCCAUUGGUUCGACUAAUUCUAAAGGUGGUCUUCCAAUUAAAAAAUUACCUGGUGUUAAAACCUCUUGUUGGUCCAUCUAACUAACUAACUAUAGUGUAUAAUGGCCUUGAAUUUUAGCAUGCUUCUAUUUGACAUAAAAGAGUUGACAUUUCUUCGUAAGUCAAAAUAGUGUCGCCGAUUAUACGCUUUAAAUGGUAUUUCAUUGACUUAACCCCAGCUUCCCAAAUACCUCCGGAUAUUGGAACAUUUUCCCCGUCUAGCAAUAAAUCUUCUGAGUGCUGCUAAAAAUGCACCAAAAGUUAGAUCGCUUACCAUUUCUAAGUGUAUGGCUUUGGUGGCCAUGCAAACGAAUACGGCAACGUAUUCUUUAAAUGUUUUUUGGCCACGAUUUUUUGAACAUUUAACAUAAUAAGGACAUGCGUAAUCUAUUCCAGUAUUAAGAAACGGGAAUGUCAUCGGCACUCUAUAUUUUGGCAAGUUACCCAUAAUUUGCUGAGCUGUAUUUUGUUUAUACCUUGCACACUUUACAUAUUCUCUUAAAUCCUUUUUCAACGAAUUUUUCAACUUGAAUCCAAUACUUUCUUUGGAUAUAGUUUCGCAUAAGGUUUAUCCCUCCAUCCGUAUGAGCAUUUUUUAUUAAUAAGCUUGUUAGGUUGCAUUUUUCUAAAAUGAUUGGAUGUUUAACAUUAAAUUCUGCAUUGGAGUUUUGCAAUCUUCCUCCAACUCUUAGAACCCCAUCCUUGGGGUGACAAUAUUCAAUGACAAUAUUUUUUUAUUUGUCUUGAUUUAGUUUUUGAUUUUAAGGCACUUUAUCUCUUGCCAAAACUGGUAUUCUUGUUGUUUCUUAACAACAACUGUUUCCGCUAUUUUUAUAUCCUUUACUGAAAUAAUUGAUGAAUAGGCUUUUUUUUUGUUUUCAUCUGCACGAAUCUAUUUAUGUAUGCUAUUAUACGUAUAAGUUUUUCUAUACUGGAAUACCUUUCUAUUAAUUCGUAAAUCGGAUCAUAUCAUAUUUCGUCAUUUAAUACCGUAUUUAUUAAGACAGGUUCUUCUACAGACUGCUGUCGAGGCCAAAGAUCUUUUGGGUCGGCUAGCCAUUUCGGACCUUUUCACCAAAGAUCACAGUUGAUCAACUGGUUAGAGUCCACUCCCCUGGAUGCUAAAUCUGCUGGAAUAUCCUCUGACUUAACAUGAUUCCAUUCAGUAUUUUUUAAUCUCCGAAUGUCCUCCGUUCUUCUUCUUAUAAAUUUUAUCUUACUUUGACCACUGUUAAUCCAUGCUAAGGUAAUCGUGGAAUCACUCCAAGCAUAGAUCUCCAUUAUAUUGUCAAUUGAUCCUUUUAGUCUUUGGAUUAAUUCACUAAGCAAGUGAGCUGCACACAGCUCGAGUUUGGGAAUUGUCUUCCUAUUUAUUAUAGGGUUGACUCUACUUUUGCUAGCUAUUAUAUUAACAUGAGGUCCUUCUUUAGCAUAGACUACUGCAGCGUAUGCUUUUUCGGAGGCGUCCGCAAAUCCGUGAAUCUGAAUGACUGAAGAACUGUUUGAAUUAAUCCACCUUGGCAUUCGAAUAUUCUCUAACAAUGUUGGGUUGUAGGGGGAUGCUGUCCUGGAAUUUUCCAAAUAUGCUGAAAAGAAACACUCGAAGAAAAGCGAACACUAGACUUUUCGUAAUUGCGCGGGCGUAUGUUUAUUCAGCGUGGUUAGUUUUUACACUGCCGCUUAUUCUAAUUAGUUAGGCUCUCCCAAGCGCAGCGGAGACUCCUUGGAGACUCUGAGGUGAAGAGCGGGAGAGCGUAAGAGGGAGCGGAGAGCGAGUGACAGUCCAAACCCCGUAACUUGAACAAACAAUAAUAAAUUUUCUUUAUAUUUUUCCCAAUAAUUUUUAUCUUCUAUGGAUAAUUCCUGAUCCCAUUCACUUUUAUUUAUCCAAAG
ensembl:ncRNA lncRNA:CR46472 long non-coding RNA:CR46472